GCCUAGCAAAUAUCUCCCUUUCGUUGCGAUAGUGUGAAAAUGUGAAAGGAGAUCGUUUCUGGCAACGCUUUAUGCUAGUUGCUACGGUGCAAAACAAACUUGUUUGUUUAUGUUUAUCGUUGCUGUAUUGCAACAAAUUCAAAGGUACACUCCAGCUAAUCGAUGGAUGAAGAAUUGCGUUAUAAGAAAAUUUGUUUGCUCUGUCAUAGCAAAUUUGUGGACACCAUGCUUAAUGCACUGAUAAAAGGACAAGUUACGAAAAUUCAGUCCAAAACCGAAAAAAAAACAACGCGCAACAGGAUAUUUCCGUCAAUGUGGAAAGGCCAGAAGAAUGAACGUAUCGGGAAAUAAACUAGUUCCCGUUAACGUGCAGAAAAAUACUAAAAUUACAAAACCUGACGAUACGCAAAUUGUUUUAAAAGAUUUGAAGCAUAUACCAAUAAAAGAAAUUUUGCAAAAGUAUUCUAGAUACGAAACAGAGAUGAAGGACAUUUUCAACAAGUAUAAAAAAUUUUGCGAAAGGCAAUGGCCAAAUUACAAAACGAGAAAUUUGUGCUCUGGUCAGAUGUGGUCAUGAUUAUGACUGACGACCAAAUGUAUGAAAUGGCACGCUUCUUAGAGCAAAAAUUAUGUUCCCAAGAAGAGCUUGGAAUGUAUACAGAAUUUAUAGAUGCUGUUCUAUUAGGGGAGUGGGCCCUUCGUAUUUUCAUGGACCAGUUCAAAUUCCAUCAUAAGGACGAUGCUUUACAACAUAUCAAACUGCAGGAACAGGAAUUCAGUAAAUAAAACUCAACUCCGUCUGCAAAUAUAUAAGCCCAUAAGCCACACACACAUG